UACGGGGGGGGUAAGCGUUGUUCGGAAUUACUGGGCGUAAAGGGCUCGUAGGCGGCCAACUAAGUCAUACGUGAAAUCCCUCAGCUUAACCUGGGAACUGCGUCUGAUACUGGAUGGCUUGAAUUCGGGAGAGGGAUGCAGAAUUCCAGGUGUAGCGGUGAAAUGCGUAGAUAUCUGGAGGAAUACCGGUGGCGAAGGCGGCAUCCUGGACCGAGAUUGACACUGAUGAGCGAAAGCCAGGGGAGCAAACGGG
rnacentral:rRNA from 1 species